rnacentral:lncRNA from 1 species
AAUAGAUUCCAAUUUCAGUUUCACACCGCACUAAACUGAACCGAAUUGGACUUGACCAGUUGUUUAUAAUUUUUUUUAAUAACAAAAUUAUUUAACUAUAAUGCUACAUUUUUAAUCUCAUAACUAAUAUUUCCCUAAGCCCAACUUCAAAACAUCUCUCUUUUUUGGCCCAAUAUCUCUCUUUGUAUGAAAUUGGAUCAUUUGUUAAUUUUCAAGCCCAAAAAAUAAAAUUUUAGUUUGAUUUGUAUAAAAAAAAGUUAAAAAAAUUAAUAAUAAUAAUUCGAUCCAAAACUCGAAAAAACAUAAACCAAACAAGAACCGAUUCAAACUGGACCGCUGGUUUCAAAAAAAAAAUUCACUAAAACCAAACCGAACUUGACCAGUUAAAUAGUACCCGUUCCAAUUUCUAUUUGAGGUGAACACCUUACCCAACCGGACCACACUCAACCCUAGUUAUAAGCCUUGAAGGCAUCGUGCCAGGAGAAGCUUAUGUGCUAGGCCGCAAUGUCUUCCCAAUCUUCUUCACUUAUCACUCUCCCUCUCCCGAAAUCCCUUAUUCUUCUUUUCUCAGCCAAAUCCCUCUCCCAAAAUCCCUUAUUCUUCUUUUCUCAGCCAAAUCUCUCUCCCUCAAUUCAAUUUGGCAUUCCUUUUCAGACUCAACCCCACCUCCUCCCAUCUUUGCACUUGAGACAACGUUUCUCAAUUACAGAUCCAAGAUCAGCUCCACUUCUUCUGGUACUUCAAUAUGAACUAUGAUCAAAACAUUGUCUUGAGAUGCUUUUGGAUUUGAAUAUAUUAUGCAAGUAAUUGAAUUGAGAGGUGUAAUCUGAUGGUGAUCAUGGUGUCACAUGCAGGUCACGUGAACAAACAAGCACAAGAGCAUGGG